UCUAGCUUAUGCAUCGACAUCCAGAAAUUCAAAUAGCUCACCGGAAGUUAAGUUCUAUUUCCUAUCAUGAAAGCACAAAUCAUGUGCAGGUUAGACCUCAAAUCUCUGGAAAACACAAAAAACUAUGAACACAUAAAAAUGUACCCAUACUAGAGUGCAGAAUGUAUAUCCUUCUCCAGCACUUGUGGAGUAACAACGAGAACUCAUUUCUCUUUCCAUAAACUCGCUCUUCUCAAAGGAUUGUUUGACCAAAUUGUGCACUCCUGCAAUCAGUUUAGAAACAAUCAUC
rnacentral:lncRNA from 1 species